CUCAUGGAUACUAGUUGGGUUUGUUACUGCUGAGCCACAGUGGGAAUUCCUGCGCCUACAUUCUUAUACUUGGCACCACACCAUAGAAAAUGUCAAUACUAUGAAAACUGAGGAAAACACGAAUGUACUUCACUCACAUCUAGUUGUCGGAGUGAAUGCGACAUCUUUUUUUAUUUGGCCGCACCCACAGCAGGGGGCAAUUCCAGAGCCAGGGACGACGGAACCUGCACCACAGCAGCGAUCCAAGCCACAGCAGUGAUACUACCACAUCUCCAACCCACUGAACUACCAGUUGCUCGAGAUCCUUGGCCCAGGGACUUCCACAUGCCCGGAAUGAAGCAAAACAAACAAACAAAACCAGGAAGGAUGCCAAGGAGUCCUGGAGCGAGAUGGGGGAGAAGGCUUCAGAGCAGAGGCUUAGAGCAGUCCUUUACAGAGGCGCUUAGUAAGUCCUUGCUGGAUGUAUUCACCUCAGCAGUGACCUUCUUCAGGACGUCUUCCCUCUGCCACUCCUCUGCAUCCCGAAGCGUCCUGGGCUCCUUCGACUAUCUACUUCACAAGACAUUUCCUCAAAGAUAGUAAAACGUGCCAUGGAAUAAAAUGGAAAAGGAGAAGAGCAGAGAGCAGAAGUCUAGUCCACAAAGUGUGGACCAGCUAGAGAGGCUAGGAAGACACAACCCAAAAAAGGAAGUUACCAAAGACACUUGAGAAGAAUCAGGAAAGUAUUCUGUCCUGAACAUCAAAGUGAGACCACAUUUCAAGACGGGGUUAUUGAAGUCAUUACCAAGUGCUGCGGAAGAGUCGAGGGAAAGAUAAAUAAGAAAACACUUCUGGAUUUGUUAUGACUUACUUCAGUAGGCAGUUUUAACAGCCUUAAGGAUGGAAAUCAGGUUGCUGAAGGUUGAAGAGGGGACCCAAUUUAAGAAUGGGUAAAGGGUUUGUAUUGACAUUUCGCCAAAGAAGACAUAUAAAUUACUAAUAAGGAUCUGAAAAGAUGCUAACAUCGCUAGUCAUUAAGAAAAUGCAAGGAAGUACAAAUCAAAUGAGUAAUUAUAAUUAAAAUGUGAGACUGAGCCAAGUG